AAGGUUACAUGCUGUAAAUUUCCAUAUGUAAUUAAUACGGUUGUUUGAGUUGCUCUAUAAAUAGAGCACUCCGUAAUGCUUUCAGAAAUACAGAGAGAAUCACGGUAAAGAGAGAGAGGAAAGAAGAGGAGAUGAGAUAAUAGAGAGAGUUAUUUUUGUACUCUUAUUUUCAUAUUAUAAUGAAAGCAUCAGUGCUGCCCUGAGGAUGUACUCCAGUCACACUGACUGUAGAGGAACCUCGUAAAUUUUGUGUCUUGUUUAUUUAUUCCACUGCACCCACCAUCAAUUUUACAACACGUUAUCAGCACGAGAAGCUCUCAUGUUAGUGGAAAGCACAACGCCAUAAAUCCGGUGAAACAUUACCUACCUCCCACCUCUGCUAGCCAAAAAUCUCACAGAAUAAAAGGUAUGUCCAUUUUCUGUAUCUCCCACCACGCCAGAAGCGUUCCGCCGAAUUUCGGUGAGAAUUGAAAUUUAGAACGACCUGAAGUCGUCACGAGAUAAGAAAACUCGUACCUGACAACUGGUUUCCAGAGAUCCAGAAGAAUCUCAUUAGACUUGGAAACCCAGAUCGCGUCGUUUUCGACAAAUCUCGAGAACUCCCAUGAAUACUCAGUUGUCUGAGAUGGUGAUGGCAAGAAUGAAUCCACACAGGCCUCCCUCUCUUGUGCCUCCAUCAACCCCGCUGUCAUCUAUGUCUUUGUAUGGAGGUUCUUGCUUUAUGAUGCCAUGUUCUCUGGGCCAUGCAAGAACAACGCCAGUCUCUGGUAGUCUUUUUUAGAUUGAAUUGGUUUUGUGUGACCUCCACAACAACCUAGCUGGCCCUGGGUUUCGAGACUGGUAAAGACAGACAAAGAAAGAAAAAAAGGGAAUUUUAUGGAAUAUGCAUGGCACAAUCUGAAAAAGUCAAUAGUGCACAGCACCAUUUGAAAAAGAAAGAAACAAAAAGGUUUUGGUGCCUGGUGCAUCUGCACCAUCUAAAUAAUAAAAUAAAAGAAAAAUGAUGGUGUGUCAGACACCAUGUGGAAACUAAGAGAAAAAAAAAACCAAAAGGGUGAAGACUUUUUGGAUGGUGUCGUACCAUCUGAAAAGAAAGAAGAGAAAAUAUAUAUUUCUUUAUGUGAAUUGGUGUUGGUUUAAAAUCCUUUCAUAAGAUCUAUUUACUUUAAAGCAAUUUAUUUAUCAUAGACGGUUUUACCGCCUACUGCUUUAAGUUUUUAUUUAUGUGAAUGGUGCUGAAUUAAAGCCCUUAUCACAAGCUUUAUUUACUUAAAUGCAAUUUAUUUACUAUGGCUGGAAUUAUUGCUUAUUGCUUUAAUUUUUUUUAUUGUACUUAUCUUUUGUUACGAUGAGUAUAACAAGGUCCUAGAGUUCCUUGAUUAGAUCAGAACCUGCAGUUUCUUGAUCCUCAUCACAUAAAAUGAUUGGACCCGAAGUUCCAUCAUGCAAAAAGAUCAAACAUGAAGUCCCUAGAUAGGACAUGAAGUUUCUUGAUAAGUACCUUAAGUUUGAAGUGCCACAGUGCCUCAACUUAAUUGUAAUAAAGGUCAUAAAAGUCUCAGUCCAUAGACUAUUUAAUAAGGAUCAGAAGUUCCUUAUGUCCAUACUUAAAAUGGUUUAGCAGAAGCAUUUAUUAAGCGGAUGAAAUUGAUUACCCGCGCUCUGCUCAUGAAAAUGAAAUUACCAGUUUUCUACAUGGGGACAUGUCAUUUUACAUGAUGCAUUAUUACAUUCGAUUGAGAUCAGUUUCCAACCAUCAAUAUUUCUCAGUACAACUCGUGUUUGGGCACUAGCCAAACAGUAUACAUUUACGAGUUUUUGGUUGUGUUAUCUAUGUGCCUAUUGCACUGCCACAACGUACUGAAAUAGGCAUUGAUGUUGAACAUCAUCUAUCAUUCAAUAUUUAGAACCCUUGACUGGGGAUAUAUUUACUGCAUGGUUUACGGACUGUCAUUUUGAUAAGACAAUUUUCCCGCUGUUAGGGAGAGAAAAUAUCGUUCCAAAAGAACGAUGAGAAAAUAUCAUUCCAGAAGAAUGACGAGAAAUGAUCGUUCUAGAAGAACGAAGAGAAUUUGUCUUAUUUUGAUUCACGAAGCAAUCAAUGAGAAAAUGAAGUAAGAAUAAUUGAAUGAUGCAAUGAUGUGUCAAUCAAAUGCCAGAUGCAUUUAAUGAUGCAACGAAAGUGAUGAAAUCACAAAUACUUGUUACAAAAGUGCCUACAAUAAUUGAUAUCCCUGUUUGGACAAAAUAAUGAAACAGUAAAUGAGUUAUCUGUUGCACGCUUGAAGCGUGACAAACCCUCAGACUCAAAAAGGUUCAGUCAUUCGAAAGAAGAAAAAUAUUACAUUACUGAACUAUUGCAUUUCCGAAGCAUAAUUGUUGCAUGCCAGAAGCAUGACAGUUGCCGCAUGGAUACACAUCCCAGAAAGGAUAAUCCGCGGACAUGGGAAUGUUGAUGUCUCAUGCAUGAAGCAUGAUAGACCUAUAGGUUCCAAAGACUCAACUCCUAGAAGUGGAGAUUAAGAUCCAAGCUCUAUAACGCUCAAGAAGAGGUUAUGAUAUGCAUUCUCUAAAUUACGACUAUCCUGGAAGAGAUAGUGUAAUGCCCUUGAAAAGGCAAUGGAUAUCCAAAUAAAUAAAAAGCUUUUAUGCAUGCGCAUGCACAUGAGAAUAUGGGAUCACGGAUUGAUGAUAACCAAUGGUAAUUUUGGUUCUUACAAGUAGCUACUAAAAUCAUCAAUGAGCUGUGUUGAUAUUGAGUCUCGUUCUUUUCAACGAAAAACAAAGAUGGAGAAAGGCAAUUCCAUUACAAUUUUGUAAGAACGUGGGAAAAUGGACCUAUAUAUUUGAAUGUAAUACAAAUAGCCAAAAGAUGUUGAACUAAAGAGGUUACAUUAGGUAUUUGUAAUACAGUGAAUUACACUCACAUGAUAUGACACAAGGUUACUAAUUGAAACCUGAAAUUAUACUCUUGUAAGUAAGUUCAUAUGAAUGGAGAAUUAUAUACAAAGGGUUGUGAGUCACCCACAUAGUAUCUCCAUAAGUAAAUCCCUCAAUUAUACAUGGGAGCAAAUUGCUAUGUAUGAAUUCCAAAGGAAAAUGUGUCAUGAAGUGCAGAAAAUCCCUGAAAGAUUCAAAUUGCUUGAAGUAAGCCCCCGAAGGGUAAAGCAUAAAUUAUGUACUCAAUACCAAUAGAUGGUAUAAUUGCCUUAGUGAGUACUAUCAUUAUGAUAUUGUUGCAACAUACUAAAAUCUCUUGCAAGAAUCGAUGACAUUAAAUUAGAACUCCUGAAGAGUUGAUGAUGUUAAAUUGGGACUCCUGAAGAGUCAAGAAAGAUUAUAAAGUGUUGAGAGAAAUAUUGUUCGAACUGCAGAUCGAACAAUAUGCCAACACAAAUCUUAUCCAUGAUGUUUAUGAUAUUAAAGAACCAUAUGGAUUAAAGAUUAUGAGUUGAAUACUCAAAUAUUUAGACAUUAAGAAAAAUCAUUCAUCUUCGUGAGGGAAAGGUUGAAUUGAUAUUUGGUCCAGAAGUACCACAUCUUAGUGCAAUACAUUGAAUGAAAUAAAGCUUAUCUAUUGAUAUAUCCGAGGAAUUACAGACAUGUACAUACACAUGAAAACAUGGGGGAGCCUUCAUAAAGGUUGUUCAUGUGAAGCCUCAGUACUCGGAAGUACCCCAGAAGGGGGAGGCACCAGAGGUUGAUUAUUUGAAACCUCAGUACUUGGUGAAACUCCAGAAGGUUGAGAUAAUGGGUGUCUUUGGAAUAAAGACUUAAACCCCUGAUUGUCAUUUUGAGUCCGACCUUCGGAUUCCAGUAGCUGGUCGAACUUUCUUUUCAUGCUCGUUGAGUAAUUAUUUGCGAGCAUGUGUAACACUCUAUUCUCGUGCUUGAGCCCUCUGAUCUCUUGUUUAAGACUUGCGACCUCAGCCAUCAAUGAUUCAACUUGGUGAGUUCGAGCAAGUAGGCGUUGACCCAUAUUAGAGACAGAGCUUGCACAUUGAAUACUGAGAGCCAAAGAGUCUUGAACGGCAGCCUCAUCAGAUCGGUUUGAAAGGAUUCUGUUAUCCUUGGGAGUGAGAAUAUUCCUAGCUACCACUGUAGCGAUUAGGUCAUUCUUCAUCAUAGAGUCCCCAACCGUAAGAGGACCAUUUGAAGAUAAGAAAGACGGGUGCCAUAUAUUAUCCUGAUGCGGCUCGCCUGUAUUAGUCCUAAGACUCAAAUCUAAGCAAAUGUUAGAUGAGCAAGCCAUUUUCAGAAAUUGAUGAAAGAAAAAUGUUGGAUAUAGUGAAAUCUCAGAAAUACAGCAGAUACAAUUUUCACAAGUGGGAAAUCUUCAAAGUGUGCAAAUUUGAAUACAAUCAAUAACUCUAUAAAAGAAGAGAGCCACUUGUUUAGAGAUCGAAGAAGCACAUCUUUCUGAAUUUCAAAAGCCAGAUUUUCCCAAAUAAAGUUUGUUGGCAUUUUUCAGAUGCAAUCUCAGCUUUUGGAUAUCACGUACAACUUUGUCAAAGAUCUCUGAUAAAGUUGAAAACGCGUGAAUUUCACUAUUCCAACUACAACACUGUUGCCGACAAGCGUGGAUGACAAAGUCACGUCCACACCACUACUUGCUAUUGGGGAAAUCCCUAUAUAUGUCGACUUUCAUCCUCCAUGGCAAGGCAUACAUCCAAAACUCUUAACUCUCUCUCUCUCAUUGCCGAAGAUGCAUCUGCAACCAAACCUCUCAACAUACUCAGUUUUCUUCCUCUCAGAGAAUACCUCUCCAAAACAAGUCAUACCAGAGCAAGAAUAUCACAUAUCAUCAGGGACGAGAGCAAGAGUAUCUCAUAUCAUGCAAUCUCCUUGUCCUUUCAUUUGUCCUUGUUCUUACCUGCAAAGACAAAGAUAAAGAAAGCAAUAUGUCGGAACCUCCACUCAAACUCCGGUAAGGAACCGACUGCCUGGAACCUUUCCUGAUUGCUUACCUAGCUCUCGAGUAGUCAUCUUCAACUGUUGUUGGAGCUGGGUCUCCAGUCACCAAGAAGUGAUGAACCAUCCAAAUGCAAGGGUUGCAUUCCACUCCUGCAUCAGAGGGCAAAUACUGCAGGAGAAGAUGCCACGCAUGCAUGGGGGAAAAGCAGGGAAAAUACUACUUAAGCAAGGGGAGCAAGUAAGGAAAGUGAAAAUGAUACAUUGAAGCAUGUGGAGACAAGCGCAACAAACACGUGCUGAUUCAUCCCUGACAAAACCGAAGAUCACUUGUCACAUGAAGCUCCUCAUGGUCCAAUUUCAUUCAAGAUCAACCCUCGAAGGUCCUUGAAGAAAUCAUAAGUCCGAUUCAAGAUCAAGUGUUCACCACCCUUAAAUCAAAUUCCGCUCCAGAUAAAAGGAGUAAAUUCAGACCUUUGGAUCAAGUCUAGCAGAAGGUCCUUCAGCCCAGUUCAAGAACAAGCCUGUGGAAAGUUAACAACAAGUAAAACACCUCUUUCGGCAACUCUUCUUACUAAGAGACUGAAGCAGAAUGAUCAACGAUCAACUUAAAUGAUUUGAAAACAGGGGGAGAUACUCAUCAGGGGGAGCAUCCAAAACAUAUCAAGGUUUUAACGAGGUAACUGAUGUUGAUAUGUGGGCAUCCAAGGGGGAGUGUUGAAAAUAAUAGUGGGUAAUGAAUGCCCACGUAGAAACUGAAAACAUUGGUAGAAGUUUUCAAUGACCAUGCAAAUUGGAAAAUGACUUUGGAUGCAGGAGAUCAUGUUUGUCAAAGGUUACAUGCUGUAAAUUUCCAUAUGUAAUUAAUACGGUUGUUUGAGUUGCUCUAUAAAUAGAGCACUCCGUAAUGCUUUCAGAAAUACAGAGAAAAUCACGGUAAAGAGAGAGAGGAAAUAAGAGGAGAGGAGAUAAUAGAGAGAGUUAUUUUUGUACUCUUAUUUUCAGAUUAUAAUGAAAGCAUCAGCGCUGCCCCGAGGAUGUACUCCAGUCACACUGACUGUAGAGGAACCUCGUAAAUUUUGUGUCUUGUUUAUUUAUUCCACUGCACCCACCAUCAAUUUUACAACAAUAUGUUAUUUUAUGGCUCAUAGUAUUAUAUUUUAGAUGUAUUAUUUUUUAUUUAUAAGUGACAAGUUUUAAAAUAAAUGUAUCAUUGUAUACAAAAUGUAUUUUAUGUCUUAUCUUUAAAAAUUUC
rnacentral:lncRNA from 1 species